AUUGAACGCUGGCGGCAGGCCUAACACAUGCAAGUCGCACGAGUGGCGGACGGGUGAGUAAUGUCUGGGAAACUGCCUGAUGGAGGGGGAUAACUACUGGAAACGGUAGCUAAUACCGCAUACCAUCAGACGUGCCCAGAUGGGAUUAGCUAGUUGGUGGGGUAACGGCUCACCAAGGCGACGAUCCCUAGCUGGUCUGAGAGGAUGACCGGCCGCACGUGAAAUGAGGCACGGUCCAGACACCGACGGGAGGCAGAGGUGGGGAAUAUUGCACAAUGAGCGCAAUGCUGAUGGAGCCAAGCCGCGUGUAUGAAGAAGGCCUUCGGGUUGUAAAGUACUUUCAGCGUGGAGGCGUUACCCGCAGAAGAAGCAACGGCUAACUCCGUGCCAGCAGCCGCGGUAAUUC
rnacentral:rRNA from 1 species